rnacentral:misc_RNA from 1 species
GAUGAAGAACGUAGCAAAAUGCGAUAAGUAAUGUGAAUUGCAGAAUUCAGUGAAUCAUCGAAUCUUUGAACGCACAUUGCGCCCGCCAGUAUUCUGGCGGGCAUGCCUGUUCGAGCGUCAUUUCAACCCUCAAGCUCAGCUUGGUGUUGGGACUCGCGGUAACCCGCGUUCCCCAAAUCGAUUGGCGGUCACGUCGAGCUUCCAUAGCGUAGUAAUCAUACACCUCGUUACUGGUAAUCGUUGCGGCCACGCCGUAAAACCCCAACUUCUGAAUGUUGACCUCGGAUCAGGUAGGAAUACCCGCUGAACUUAAGCAUAUCAAUAAGCGGAGGA